AUCCCAGUUCAUCCCAGUUCAAUCCCAGUCCAUCCCAGUUCAAUCCCAGUCAAUCCCAGUUCAAUCCCAGUUCAAUCCCAGUUCAAUCCCAGUUCAUCCCAGUCCAUCCCAGUUCAUCCCAGUUCAAUCCCAGUUCAUCCCAUCAAUCCCAGUUCAAUCCCAGUCCAUCCCAGUUCAAUCCCAGUUCAUCCCAGUCCAUCCCAGUCCAAUCCCAGUUCAAUCCCAGUCCAUCCCAGUUCAAUCCCAGUUCAAUCCCAGUUCAAUCCCAGUUCAUCCCAGUUCAGCCCAGUUCAUCCCAGUCCAUCCCAGUCCCUCCCAGUCCAUCCCAGUCCAUCCCAGUACAAACCAGUACAAACCAGUCCCGACGCCGAAAUUUGUGAAUUUUUAUUUUUUUUAUUUUUUUUUUAUUAUUUUUUAUUUUUCCGAUUCCCAAAAAAAAAAAAAAAAAAAAAAAAAAAAAUUUCCCAAAAAAUCCAAAAAAUUCCCAAAAAUUCCCAAAAAUUCCAACCCCGGGAGGGGGCGGGGCCGAGGAGAGGGGGGGGCGGAGCCGAGGAUGAUGAGGCCACGCCCCCUUUUCCCGCCCAAAAAAACCGGGGGGGAGGAGCCUGGAGAAGGGGAAAAGGGGGCGUGGCUUGAAAAAGGGCGGGAAAAGGAAAAGGGGGCGGAGCCAAAAAAUCUCACCUGGAAAAGAGAAAAGGGGGAGGGGUUAGAGAGGAACUGGCCUGAACUGGUUUAUACUGGUUUAAACUGGUCUGAACUGAUCUGAACUGGUUUAUACUGGUUUAUACUGGUUUAUACUGGUCUGAACUGGUCUGGACUGGUUUAGACUGGUCUAUACUGGUUUAUACUGGUUUAGACUGGUUUGUACUGGUCUGAACUCGUUUAUACUGCUCGGAACUGGUCUGAACUGGUUUAUACUGGUUUAUACUGGUCUUAACUGGUUUAUACUGGUUUAUACUGGUUUAGACUGGUUUAGACUGGUCUGAACUGGUUUAGACUGGUUAUACUGGUUUAUACUGGUUUAUACUGGUCGGAACUGGUCUGAACUGGUUUGUACUGGUUCAUACUGGUCUAUACUGGUUUGUUCUGGUUCGUACUGGUUUGUACUGGUGUGAACUGGUUUAUACUGGAUUAUACCAGUCUGAACUGGUCUGAACUGGUUUAGACUGGUUUAUACUGGUCCGUACUGGUUUGUACUAGUCUGUACUGCUUUGUUCUGGUUUAUACUGGUUUAUACUGGUCUGAACUGGUUUAUACUGGUUUAUACUGGUUUAUACUGGUUUAGACUGGUUUAAACUGGUUUGAACUGGUUUGAACUGGUUUAUACUGGUUUAUACUGGUCCGUACUGGUUUAUACUGGUUUGAACUGGUUUAUACUGGUUUAAACUGGUCUAUACUGGUCUGAACUGGUUUAUACUGGUUUGAACUGGUCUAUACUGGUCUGAACUGGUUUAUACUGGUUUAAACUGGUCUAUACUGGUCUGAACUGGUUUAUACUGGUCCAUACUGGUUUAAACUGGUUUGUACUGGUCUAUACUGGUCUAUACUGGUUUAUACUGGUUCAUACUGGUCCGUACUGGUGUCACUCACAUGGUUUGGGGCGAGAACAGCCCGGACAGGCUCAGACACUGCGACGCCAAAUUGAGGGCGGGGCUCAGGGCUGGGGGAGGGGCGA
ensembl:lncRNA